AUUGAACGCUGGCGGCAUGCCUUACACAUGCAAGUCGAACGGUAACAGGUCUUCGGAUGCUGACGAGUGGCGAACGGGUGAGUAAUACAUCGGAACGUGCCCGAGAGUGGGGGAUAACGGAGCGAAAGCUUUGCUAAUACCGCAUACGAUCUACGGAUGAAAGCAGGGGACCGCAAGGCCUUGCGCUCAUGGAGCGGCCGAUGGCAGAUUAGGUAGUUGGUGGGAUAAAAGCUUACCAAGCCGACGAUCUGUAGCUGGUCUGAGAGGACGACCAGCCACACUGGGACUGGGACACGGCCCAGACUCCUACGGGAGGCAACAGUGGGGAAUUUUGGACAAUGGGCGCAAGCCUGAUCCAGCCAUGCCGCGUGCAGGAUGAAGGCCUUCGGGUUGUAAACUGCUUUUGUACGGAACGAAAAGACUCCUUCUAAUAAAGGGGGUCCAUGACGGUACCGUAAGAAUAAGCACCGGCUAACUACGUGC
rnacentral:rRNA from 1 species